rnacentral:misc_RNA from 1 species
UCAAACUUGGUCAUUUAGAGGAAGUAAAAGUCGUAACAAGGUUUCCGUAGGUGAACCUGCGGAAGGAUCAUUAAUGAAUUUUGAAACACCUUUCGGUCGUGCUGGCUCUUUCGCAAGUGCACACCGUCUGGUUUCAUCCAACACCCUUGUGCACCUUUGGCCUCGCGUUGUAAUGACGCGGGGAUUCUUUACACAAACUCGUAUGUAAUAGAAUGUAGAUCUAGUGCGUAAGCACGAAAUGUACAACUUUCAACAACGGAUCUCUUGGCUCUCGCAUCGAUGAAGAACGCAGC